UACGUAGGGUGCGAGCGUUAAUCGGAAUUACUGGGCGUAAAGCGUGCGCAGGCGGUGAUGUAAGACCGAUGUGAAAUCCCCGGGCUUAACCUGGGAACUGCAUUGGUGACUGCAUUGCUGGAGUAUGGCAGCGGGGGGUGGAAUUCCACGUGUAGCAGUGAAAUGCGUAGAGAUGUGGAGGAACACCGAUGGCGAAGGCAGCCCCCUGGGCCAAUACUGACGCUCAUGCACGAAAGCGUGGGGAGCAAACAGG
rnacentral:rRNA from 1 species